rnacentral:rRNA from 1 species
UACGUAGGUGGCAAGCGUUGUCCGGAAUUAUUGGGCGUAAAGCGCGCGCAGGCGGUGAGUUAAGUCUGAUGUGAAAGCCCCGGGCUCAACCUGGGAAUGGCAUUGGAAACUGGCUCGCUGGAGUGUGGCAGAGGGGGGUGGAAUUCCGCGUGUAGCAGUGAAAUGCGUAGAGAUGCGGAGGAACACCGAUGGCGAAGGCAGCCCCCUGGGCCAACACUGACGCCUCAGGCACGAAAGCGUGGGGAGCAAACAGG